GACGAACGCUGGCGGCGUGCUUAACACAUGCAAGUCGAACGAAGUGGCAAACGGGUGAGUAACGCGUAAUCAACCUGCCCUUCAGAGGGGGACAAACGUUGGAACCGACUUCUAAUACCGCAUACUGAAGGAGGGGAUUGCGGCGGAUUAGCUCGUUGGAGGGGUAACGGCCAACCAAGGCGAUGGUCAGUAGCCGGUCUGAGAGGAUGAACGGCCACAUUGGGACUGAGACACGGCCCAGACUCCUACGGGAGGCAGCAGUGGGGAAGCUUCCGAAAUGGACGAAAGUCUGACGGAGCAACGCCGCGUGAGUGAGGACGGCCUUCGGGUUGUAAAGCUCUGUUAAUCGGGACGCGGUACCGGAAUAGAAAGCCACGGCUAACUACGUGCCAGCAGCCGCGGUAAUAC
rnacentral:rRNA from 1 species